CCUACGGGGGGCUGCAGUAAGGAAUAUUGGUCAAUGGACGCAAGUCUGAACCAGCCAUGCCGCGUGAAGGAAGACGGCCCUACGGGUUGUAAACUUCUUUUGUACGGGAAAAAAUCUCCGGUCGUGAAUCGGAGCUGAUGGUACCGUAAGAAUAAGCAUCGGCUAACUCCGUGCCAGCAGCCGCGGUAAUACGGAGGAUGCAAGCGUUAUCCGGAUUCAUUGGGUUUAGAGGGUGCGCUAGCGGAGUGGUGAAAUCCUACGGCUCAACUGUAGAACUGCCAUUGAUACUGUCGUUCUUGAGUACACUUGGAGUGGGCGGAAUGUGUCAUGUAGCGGUGAAAUGCUUAGAUAUGACACAGAACACCGAUCGCGAAGGCAGCUCACUAAAUUGUAACUGACGCUCAGGCACGAAAGCGUGGGGAUCAAACAGGAUUAGAUACCCCUGUAGUC
rnacentral:rRNA from 1 species